UGGUAUUUUCUGUGGCGGUUGGGAUGGCUGGUUUUGCCUUUUGUUUUGAUUUGACUUGUGUUUUCGCCUUUUGUUUCUUAAUGACGAUCACACCAUUGGUAAAUCCAGAGCACUAAACAGCCCUCAGCGAAGCCGCCUUUUUGCCAGCCCAACCCUGGAAAGUUUGCAGUCGUGGAAGGAGCAGAAAUACCACGAGUGUAACUUACAAAGAAGGUCUUGGCCGGAGACCGGAGCCAUGUCUGUGUUAUCCCCACUGUAGACAAUCCUUGCUUCCUCUGGACAUCUGGAGCAGGCCCAAUUUGACUGAGAGCCUUCCCCCACUAAGUUACAGAUCCAGCCCCACCAUCACCACCAGAGUUGAGUCCAAAUCCAACACUCUAGGCCGGGUAGUGCUGGGACUUUGCCAGCCUCCUGCUGAGGUAGGGCUGGGUGAGUAGGCAGGCUGGAACGGGUGGGGUGGCCGUGUGCUGUCUGAACCCUCCCCAGAGCUGGUCGCUUUUGGUCAUUUCCUCCCUGCAGACUUGCUCUUCCUCCACACAGGUCUGGGGGAGUUUGUGGGAAGCCAGGAGCCCUCUCUUGGUUAUAUGUAGUAGAACAAGUUUUUUUUCUUAGAAGUGAAUUCUCCCCUUGGCAAACUGCAGCCAGCCAGCCUCCUGGGUCGAGAGCCAAGCCAAAAGAUGUCUGAGAGAAGAAACCUGGGGUCCUGCAAAGGUAAGUGGGUCCCAGCCCACUCUCAAUCCCCCUCUCUCUGUGUGAUUGCUAUUCCACACUGGAGUCACCUGCUCUGUGCUUCUGAGGAACCUCACCUCUGGCACAUCAAUGGAAAUUGUCCUUCCCUUUUUAUUUAUUUUUAUUUAUUUUUUAUUUUUUGCCACCCUCACUGGCCACUAAGAGAUAGCCCUAGCUCCUCCUCUCCUGCCUGGUUUUGACAGGACUCACUCCAUUGAGUCCUGUCUCGUCUCUUUGCAGCCCUCCUCCUCCCCCCCCCCCCCCUUCAGCCAGCACUUAGGCCCUCCCUGAUUUAGCCCGUUACCUUGACAACCACUUGGGCCUGUCUCCCUCAUCACCACUGAAAACCUGAAGGUGGUUUUCCAGCUGCGGUACAUUUGCCCAAGUUGGGCACCCCUCCAGCUUCUAUUGGCUCGCCCUCUAUACAGCUGUACCCAAUAUAACAAACACAACCUUCCUGGCCCCUCAGCUGUAGUCUCGAAAUUGAUCUCACUGGUCCCGGGAACUCCGUCAAUACUGCCUCCUCUAGACUGAGCUCCUCACAGGCAGGAACAUGGUUGUUUCUCA
rnacentral:lncRNA from 1 species